GGAGAUAAAAAGAAAGUGUUUGUUUCUUUAACUUAAACACACCUGAAGAAAGACUACAACUUUGUUGAUUCUUGGAAUUUUCAUACAUCAAAGAAGAUAUUAAUUACAAUGGAAUUUACCAGUUUGGUUGAUACUUCAUUGGAUUUGAGCUUUAGGCCUCGUCAAAAAGUCCUGAAACAAGAAGUGCAGAGUGAUUUCACUGGAUUGAGCAUAGAAAGAGAGAAUAUGGUGGUGAAAAAUGAGGCAGGGGAUUUGUUAGAGGAACUAAACAGAGUGAGUAGUGAAAACAAGAAGUUAACAGAGAUGCUUACUGUAGUUUGUGAAAAUUACAAUGCUUUAAGAAACCAAAUGAUGGAGUAUAUGAGCACACAAAAUGGUGUAGCUGAAGAUACUAGUGCAGGGUCAAGGAAAAGAAAAGCUGAAAGUAUCUCUAAUCCUGUUAACAACAACAACAAUAAUAAUAACAAUAUGGAUGUUGUUCAUGGACGUUCAUCAGAAAGCAGUUCGAGUGACGAAGAGUCCUGUUGCAAGAAACUCAGAGAGGAGCACAUAAAAGCGAAAGUUACAAUUGUUUCUAUGAAGACUGAUGCAUCUGAUACCUCUCUUAUUGUAAAGGAUGGUUAUCAGUGGAGAAAGUAUGGUCAGAAAGUAACUAGAGACAACCCUUGUCCAAGAGCUUACUUCAGAUGCUCAUUUGCACCUGGUUGCCCUGUCAAGAAAAAGGUUCAGAGAAGCAUUGAAGAUCAGUCUAUUGUGGUAGCAACAUAUGAAGGAGAACAUAACCAUCCACAAACCUCAAAACCAGAAUCAGGUCCAAGUACUAAUACUUCCACAGCCAGCCGAUUAAAUGUGACAACUAUCGCGGGCACUACUACUUCAGUCCCUUGCUCUACCACUCUCAAUUCCUCAGGACCAACCAUUACUCUCGAUCUUACUGCACCGAAAACAGUGGAAAAGCGCGAUAUGAAGAUGAAUCACAGUACUACUAGUCCUACCAGUGGCAAUAGCAUUAGAACAACAACAACAACAUCAGCAGCAGGAGGUGAAUAUCAAAAUAGGCCAGAGUUUCAACAGUUCUUGAUAGAACAAAUGGCUACUUCCUUGACCAAAGAUCCAAGUUUCAAAGCAGCACUUGCUGCCGCCAUAUCAGGAAAAAUCCUCCAACAUAAUAAUCAGACAGGGAGAUGGUAAACAAAAGUCCAGCAGAGCAGUCAACUACUUUGUAUAGACAAUUGUUCAAUAUUUUCCAACUUGACUCAUAUCAAAAGUUCUUAGGAGGAAAAAGGAAACACAAAUUAUUGUUCAAAUGUAAAUACAGGAAAAGUUAGUAACAUUUGGACCGCAAAGUUGGACUCGGAGAUGCACGUGAGAAUGGGAUCUUACUAGACUCUUAAGAAAUUUUCAACAGCAGCCAUACUGGGUCCCCUGCAGAAUGGACUUGCUCUGAGUUGGCUAGAUUGAGACUGAAUUGUCCUAGAAGCAUUUAAGUUGUUGAAUUUGACAACUUUGUAGAAUACUGAGAUGAGAUUAUGAAAUAUACAACUUACUGUUCUGUUCACUGACUUUA
rnacentral:misc_RNA from 1 species